CCUACGGGCGACAGCAGUGGGGAAUAUUGCGCAAUGGCCGUAAGUCUGACCCAGCCACGUCGCGUGAGGGAUGAAGGUUCUCUGGUUUGUAACCUUCUUUUAUAGGGGAAUAAAGGUAUCCACGUGUUGAGAUUUGCAUGUACCCUAUGUAUAAUGAUCGGCUAACUCCGUGCCAGCCGCCGCGGUAAUACGGAGGGUGCGAGCGUUAUCCGGAUUUAUUGGGUUUAAAGGGUGCGUAGGUUGUUUUUUAAGUCAGCGGUGAAAGUUUGUGGCUCAACCAUAAAAUUGCCGUUGAUACUGGACGACUUGAGUGUGGUUGAGGGUGGCGGAAUGCGAGGUGUAGCAGUGAAAUGCAUAGAUAUCAGGAAGAACAGCGAUUGCGAAGGCAGCCUCCUAGACCAGUAUUGACACUGAGGCGCGAAAGCGUGGGGAGCAAACAGGAUUAGAUACCCGUGUAGUC
rnacentral:rRNA from 1 species